rnacentral:rRNA from 1 species
AAUACAAGGCAUACGGCUCAGUAACACGUAGUCAAUCUGCCCUAUGGACGUGGAUAACCUCGGGAAACUGAGAAUAAUCCGCGAUAGAUCAUAAUGCCUGGAACGGUUUAUGGUCCAAAUGAUUCGUCGCCAUAGGAUGGGACUGCGGCCUAUCAGCUUGUUGGUGAGGUAAUGGCCCACCAAGACUAUUACAGGUACGGGCUCUGAGAGGAGUAGCCCGGAGAUGGGUACUGAGACACGGACCCAGGCCCUAUGGGGCGCAGCAGGCGAGAAAACUUUGCAAUGUGCGAAAGCACGACAAGGUUAAUCCGAGUGGUUUCUGCUAAAGAAACCUUUUGUCAGUCCUAGAAACACUAACGAAUAAGGGGUGGGCAAGUUCUGGUGUCAGCCGCCGCGGUAAAACCAGCACCUCAAGUGGUCAGGAUGAUUAUUGGGCCUAAAGCAUCCGUAGCUCGUUUUGUAAGUUUUCGGUUAAAUCCAUGCGCUUAACGUAUGGGCUGCCGGGAAUACUGCAUAACUAGGAAGUGGGAGAGGUAGACGGUACUCGGGAGGAAGGGGUAAAAUCCUUUGAUCUCUUGAUGACCACCUGUGGCGAAGGCGGUCUACCAGAACACGUUCGACGGUGAGGGAUGAAAGCUGGGGGAGCAAACCGGAUUAGAUACCCGGGUAGUCCCAGCUGUAAACUAUGCAAACUCAGUGAUGCAUUGGCUUAUGGCCAAUGCAGUGCUGCAGGGAAGCCGUUAAGUUUGCCGCCUGGGAAGUACGUACGCAAGUAUGAAACUUAAAGGAAUUGGCGGGGGAGCACCACAAGGGGUGAAGCCUGCGGUUCAAUUGGAGUCAACGCC